AUGAACGCUGGCGGCGUGCCUAAUCCAUGCAAGUCGAGCGAACGGACGAGAAGCUUGCUUCUCUGAUGUUAGCGGCGGACGGGUGAGUAACACGUGGAUAACCUACCUAUAAGACUGGGAUAACUUCGGGAAACCGGAGCUAAUACCGGAUAAUAUUUUGAACCGCAUGGUUCAAAAGUGAAAGACGGUCUUGCUGUCACUUAUAGAUGGAUCCGCGCUGCAUUAGCUAGUUGGUAAGGUAACGGCUUACCAAGGCAACGAUGCAUAGCCGACCUGAGAGGGUGAUCGGCCACACUGGAACUGAGACACGGUCCAGACUCCUACGGGAGGCAGCAGUAGGGAAUCUUCCGCAAUGGGCGAAAGCCUGACGGAGCAACGCCGCGUGAGUGAUGAAGGUCUUCGGAUCGUAAAACUCUGUUAUUAGGGAAGAACAUAUGUGUAAGUAACUGUGCACAUCUUGACGGUACCUAAUCAGAAAGCCACGGCUAACUACGUG
rnacentral:rRNA from 1 species